AAGGCAGCAGGCACGCAAAUUACCCACUCCCGGCACGGGGAGGUAGUGACAAAAAAUAACGAUACGGGACUCAUCCGAGGCCCCGUAAUCGGAAUGAGUACACUUUAAAUCCUUUAACAAGGAUCCAAUGGAGGGCAAGUCUGGUGCCAGCAGCCGCGGUAAUUCCAGCUCCAUUAGCGUAUAUUAAAGUUGUUGCGGUUAAAAAGCUCGUAGUUGGUUCUGUGUCCCACGCUGCCGGUUCACCGCCUGACGGUGCAACUAGCAUGCCGUGGGAUGUCCUGUCGGUGGCGGCCCUGGCCCGCGGCGAGUGUAGGUUCUUCCGAAGCUCGCCGUCGGUGUUUAGGGAACGCCGAUUAAAUCCUGCCGCGGUGCUCUUCAUUGAGUGUCGAGGUAGGCCGACACGUUUACUUUGAACAAAUUAGAGUGCUCAAAGCAGGCUAUUCAUGCCUGGAUACCGGUGCAUGGAAUAAUGGAAUAGGACCUCGGUUCUAUUUUGUUGGUUUUCAGAAUCCGAGGUAAUGAUCAAUAUGGACAGGCGGGGGCAUUCGUAUUGCGACGUUAGAGGUGAAAUUCUUGGAUCGUCGCAAGACGGACUAGAGCGAAAGCAUUUGCCAAGUAUGUCUUAGUUGAUCAAGAACGAAAGUUAGAGGUUCGAAGGCGAUCAGAUACCGCCCUAGUUCUAACCAUAAACGAUGCCAGCCAGCGAUCCGCCGAUGUUCCUCCGAUGACUCGG
rnacentral:rRNA from 2 species